AGAGACCACCGUCUCCUCCGCAA
rnacentral:snRNA from 1 species